CUACCUGGAGAUCUCUCCUUUUGGAGUGUUUGGUGAGCCCUGGUCAUUGGGAUGGGUGACCACAAGUCUUCUGCAAGUGCUGUAAAGCAGUUUGCUGCCCUUGCAUCACCAGCUGUGCAGACACAGUGCCUGUGCUGGAUGGAUGGUGAGCAGUGGUUCCUAGAAGGGAGACUGAGCACGCAGCCUCUGCUAUGUGCCAUGCAGGCAUUUCACCUCUUUUGCCUUAAUUUGAUGUGUGCAAAGGCUGAUGGAGUCUGGCCUGUAGGUGUAGGUGGGAGGAUUGUUACAAGAAGAUGUGCUGGGCUCUGCCUUAGGAGCUGGAAUGUGCUGGAGCUCUUCUCCUGACUUGGAGCUGCCUUGCAAUGUGCCGCUGCUCUGACUUUCUCAAUGGAACCUCAUGGGUGGUGAAAUGACUUGAGAAAAUCUGAUCCAAAACUACUUAAAGAUAAAAAGUCAUCUGGGAACAUUGGUCAGAUGCUGAUAGUGAUUAACUUCUAGGUUUUUAAUCAGAAAAUUAUAGCGAUGUAACUUUAACUUUUCAUAAACUACACUCUACAUGCAAAUUCACAAGCCAGUUCACAUAAGCUCAGAUAAGAUCUCUGUAUUUCGCAAAAUAAUAUGGGCAACAAUUAAAAUUAAUAGUGGAAGUACUAGAAUUGCUUUGUUUCCUCUCUUCUGAGCAAUAAGAACGCUUCUGUUCUCUGCAUGCACAGAGGAGAACACAUGUAAAUUCAAACACUUCUGCUGUUAUUGAUGAUUUCAUCCCACAGCUCUGUGAUCUUCUGUCUUGUCGCCAUCUGCACGAAGGUUUCUUUGCAGCUGCCUGAUUUCCCUCAUCCCUGUGGGCUGUGCUGAGGGUGGUUGGAUCCCCCUGCCUGGGGUCCCCAAAGUAUGGGAUGUGAGCAGGUGGCCCUG